GUGGGGAAUAUUGCGCAUUGGGGGAAACCCUGACGCAGCGACGCCGUGUGAGGGAAGAAGGCUUUCGGGUCGUAAACCUCUGUCAGAAAGGAAGAACCUCCCAAGUCCGAAUAGGGCUUGGGACUGACGGUACUUUCAAAGGAAGCACCGGCUAACUCCGUGCCAGCAGCCGCGGUAAUACGGAGGGUGCAAGCGUUAAUCGGAAUCACUGGGCGUAAAGCGCGCGUAGGCCGCUUUGUAAGUCGGACGUGAAAGCCCUCGGCUCAACCGGGGAACUGCGUUCGAUACUGCGAGGCUUGAGUCCUGGAGAGGGUGGCGGAAUUCCGGGUGUAGGAGUGAAAUCCGUAGAUAUCCGGAGGAACACCGGUGGCGAAGGCGGCCACCUGGACAGGUACUGACGCUGAGGCGCGAAAGCGUGGGGAGCAAACAGGAUUAGAAACCCCGGUAGUCC
rnacentral:rRNA from 1 species